GAGAGGCACUGCUCCAACUCAACAACCCUCCUGCAAGGGAGCAAGCCAGCAGUCAUCCUUCUACCCAGUACAGGGGAAAUUUCUUUUUCCUGUACUAGGCUUAGGGAAUAGCACUUUGGGGGGCUAACCCCUGGUGCUGCCCUAACCUCUUCCUCACAAAACCUUUCAUACAGCUGUGAGAGGCAAACUUCUCAGUUGUCAGCAUUUCCAGGAAGAAAGAACCCCUUGAGUGAUCUCCAUGUGACCUCGUCUGUCUCAGGUUCAUGAACAUGAAGGUGAGAGCAGCUCUUCCUCACAGCAUGACCAGGCAGUGACAAACACGCCACAUGGAAGGAAAUGAGUGAACAAUCCUCGCAUAUUCUGAAAUGAGGAGAUUGAGGUGCAAAGAGAGGCUAAGUUGCCCAAGGUUGCAUGUCUAAAAAGUAUCAGAGGAUGAGAAUACAGAUCUGACCAGGAUUCUAAAGCCCACGUCAUUCCCUCCACACCUGGUAGCUUCAGCCUUGCCCAGCUCCUGGUGGAACUUCCGCUCCGGGAUCCUGAAAUGCCCUGCAUGAAUCAUCAAGGGACAAAAAGAGGAGACUUUCCAGGGACUGACGCCCUCCCAGCCACCGUGGGAUCCCGGCUACUGUGACUGAGCCCAGUCAUGACUCCAGAGUGCUUCACAUCACAUCAUUCUUUCUCAGCAUCCAAAAUAUGAAGGAACUGAACCUCAGAGAGAAGAGAUAACCCUGGUCGGCCAGUAAACUGUAGAGAUCCAAUUUGAAUUCUCCCCUCUGUCUGGCUCCGACACAUGGGGUUUUCUUAACUCACACUGUGUCACCUGCAGAGUGUUUCCCUUCGGGGGAGAGAAACCCAAAAUAGUGAAAACGAACAGAAAAAGUUUGAAGAGUUCUGCUUCGGCACUUGAAGCCAAUCUCCCUACAGUCUUCUUCCUGUUCAUGCUUCCAAGAUGCUAUCAGGGAGGCUGGGCGCUGGGGACAUUUACACUCCUUGCCUCCCCAACCCCAACCUCGAGGAUUUCUGUAGGGGUGAAAUCACCUCAUUAAAGCUGUACCUUGUUGCGGGGGCGGGGGUGGAUGGGCAGAAGAACUCAUGAGGUGAUCAUAUACCGGCCUCAGUGAUUCUCUCCUCCUCCCGGCCCCAUGUCUUGUUUUUAAACUCCAGCAAGGAAGAAUCUUCUUUCCCUCCAGCCAGCCUUUCAACCCACUGCUCAAACAAAGCAUUUUCUCUCAGAGGAUGAUUGCCAAGACCCACAGUUUAGUUCAUGUGGGAGUGGAGAGGGGCCAUAAAUAAUAAUAGCCAAGUUUACUGAGUGCUUAUUAUGUAAUAGCCAAGCACUGUUCCAGAGACAUUACAUAUAGACCCAUUUCACACACACAGGUGCACACACACACACACACAUACACACAGUACAAAUGAGGAAACAGACCCAGAGAGGUUGCCCGCCAUUUGCCAGCUCUUAUGAAGGGACUUGGACAGCCUGGCUCCCAGAUGCUGCCCUGCCUCUCAAAGAUCAUCUCCCCUGGCUACCCCACCCCAUUUUACAGGUAAGGCAAUGAGCCCAGGGAGGUGAGGGACUUGCCUGGCCAGUCAAGGGCAGAGCUAGUCAAGUUGUCAGAUCUUCUGACCAAAAAACCCAAGGCUUUUUCCUCCACCCUGGGGGCUCAGCACACCCAAGACUCCAGGAGUAUGCCAAUUGCACUUCACCCAGUUCAAAGUUUAGAUCCCCCCUAAUGCUUUAAACUAGAAAAUUCUUUUUUUUUCUUUUGAGACAGGGUCUAGCCUUGUUGCCCACGUUGGAGUGCAGUGGUGUAAUCUUGGCUCACUGCAGCCUCCUCCUCCUGAGCUCAAGCCAUCCUCCCACCUCAGCCUCCUGAGUAGCUGGGACCACAGGGGCACACCCCUACACCUGGCUAAUUUUUAUAAUUUUGUAGAGAUAGUCUCAAACUCCUGAGCUCAAGAGAUCUGCCUGCCUCAGCCUUUCAAAGUGCUAGGAUUACAGGCAUGAGCCACUGCGCCUGGCCUAGGAAAUCCUUAAAUGCCUAUUUAUUUGGACAUGCCACUGGCAGACAUCUGCACUGUACCUGAGCAUCCCCGAUGGGCUCAUAGAAUGCUAACUAUAGCUUCCACCUAUAGGUUAAACAGAGAUUCUGCCCCUCUCCCCUCCUUGGCAGAUGGAUACAAACAGAAGCCAGGAGGAACAGCAGCACCUCACACAUCUAGUAGCACUCCGGCAACGACUCUGAAUACUCCCUGCAAGGCCGGCAAAUAUUUUGAUAAUCUUUCCCCUACAGGAUUCUCCUGUGGAGAACAAAUGGACACAGUCGGGAGCUGUCUUUCAGCGGAAUUCCACAGGAAGAAACAUUUCAUCAGUGGAGAGGGUUUUGACUCAGGCCUUUUGGGGAGGGAAGCAGAUUGCUCUGAGCUACUGCGGAGGGUAGGCUCUGCCCACAGGCGUCUGCCGUCCCCUCAGGACCUAGCGCAGGGCAGGCAUGUGGGCACCCUCAGCGGACCUCACCAGGUGGGAGGCAGAUGGUGUGCUGUUAAAAGCACAGCCUUCGGGGCAGCCAAACCUGGGUUUUGAGCAGUGGCUCUGCUGCUUGAAGCUGUGUGACCUUGGGCAAAUUCCUUCACCUCUCUGCUCCUGUUUCCCCACUGUAAAAUGGGCGUAAUGAGAAUAUUUGCCUCUUGGACUGGCCCUUGAGAAUUAGACCCAAUGAUGUCAAAGGAGCAUGGAGCACAGGGCCUGCCACACGCAGGCACUGAAUAACCACAGCGGUCAUCGUGAGGUCCCCACUUGCCUUGAAGGGAGCUGUGUGGCUGAGUUCUCCGCUGUCACUGGUUCCCUUAUUGAGCUUGCCUUAGGGGGCCCAAGGCCUCCUUCCAACCCAAAACGUGCCUUCGAGAGGGGCAGAGACCGGCCACCCCACGUGUCUUCCAUUGGAAUGGAAGUCAGGGUUCACCAGGCUGGGGGAGGGCAUUGAUGCCCUCAUGUGCAUCGGUCUGUUGGGCCCUGAGAAAAGCCCUAAAGAUGCCUGGCAGGGGACAUCUCUUCACAAUGACAUAUUAUUAUUUUGAAAAAGAUGAAGCCGAAUUAGCAAGCAUUUAUAAAAAGUGGAAACAAAAUGAAGCCACUGGGACAAAAGAGACACUGCACAGACCAACCACCGUGUGUGAUGAGGGGCUGGGCAGGCCCACAGGGGCCUGUUUUAUGUGGUGGCCCUCUUUGUCCCCACUCUGCCUGCUUCCCAGGCCUGCCCCUGGGCCUCUCUCCAAGGAUGAUUCUGUCUCCAUUUUUGGUAUCUACAGGCCUUGUGGGACUGGGAGGACUGAACUGGGCCCAGCAUUCUCCAGGUGACUCACCAGGCAGGCCAUGCAGAAAAGCCACUUCCUGCAUCCCUGAGUGGCCAGUCAUCCUCCUGGUACCUGCCUUAAGAACAUGUGAGCCACCCUCAGGGGCAGGGUGGGACUGGGCUGUGCUCCAGGCAUGGGCACCACAUAGAGAAGGGCUGAGUGAGUGUAGUGGAAGAACCCAGGCCAUCCAGGAGCCUGUGGCUUGGGGUGGGGUUGGGGGUGGACACAGUGUUCCUGGUGCUUUCUCCACAAAAGAAACCUCACCUUCCUAAAGCUAUCGAUCCACCCACUGGCGCUGUGGCAAUGAAAUUCUCACGGGGGAAAGUCUCAGGGCCAGCAUACCUACCCCUGCACACUUCAUGCCCCCAAGCACAGCACGCCAUUGCAGCAGGCCCCUUCCUGAAGCUGCGCCCCCAUGAAUACGCCCUGUACCCAUUCUGAGAAUCAGGUCUGAUAUUAUGGGAAGAAAAUGUGUGCCUAGGCAUGGCGGGGAGGGGCAAGUUAGGCAGGUCAGGAGGGAGAGUUUUGACAAGAAAUCCAAGCACAUGGGCCACAGAGGAGUCUUAAAAACAACCUCAGCCCAACUGUCUCCUGACUGUUCCCCCAACUUAUCAGCUCAGGCCCAGGUCAGAGGAGGUCCAGGCUGGCCUGGCACAGCAAGUUGAGCCUGGUUCCCAGACCCUGCAGCUGGUUUUGAGCAAUGGAAGUGGCAGUGAGUCUGUGCUCAUGGAGUUCCUGGGCUCAGGCCCAGGUGGGGGUGGGGAUGGGGGUUGGGGGGAUGUCCCCUGUCUUCGAUUUGACUCUGCUGCUCCAGUCACAGAGCUCUCUCAGAGGCAGACAUGAAGCCAAAGCACUUCAUUAAGACAGGAGGUCAGAUAACAGCCCCAGCCCUCUUUGGAAACCGCACACCGCCCAGUGGCAUGGAACAGGCCAGGUCCCAGCCCUCCCAGGAGUGCCAGGCAUUGUAUUUCAGAACUGAGCUUCAGCUACUCCCACAGGAAGGAGACGACUUGCUCCUACCUUGUUUUUAAUUUCCAGAAUACUGCAAUCCCCUUAGGAAAACUCAUGUUUUCAUGAUAGAAUGGCAGCUGCCCACGCAUGUCAGAGGCUUCAGACCUGAUCCUGAUCCUGAUCAAGCCUGGAACAGUGAUCUCUGGGCAGCAGAUGAACAGCCCAGGGACCAGCAAAGAGAGCCUGCCCUCUGUGGUCCAAGGCUGGCCACCGCGGCCUGUGCUAGGCAGAAGAGCUCACAGGUGUGUCCUGCUUUACUUAACUCAAAGACAGCUGCUCAGAAGUUGCCUGGAAUUGGAACUGUGAUCAGGCCAGGCCCUCCUUAGGUUUCCAGAGGGACUGCUUAUCAUAUAUACUACCUGUGUGGUGAGGGGUCUCACUUGAAGACAUAAAAAAUGCACUCCAAACAGGAAAACAACUUUUAAAAAUUAUUGACAUUUAACGAUCAGCUGUGUGUGUAUUAGGGAUUUUUAAAAAGUGAAACACAGCCAGGCACAGUGGCUCACACCUGUAAUCCCAGUACUUUGGGAGGCUGAAGCAGAAGGAUGCUUGAAGCAGGAGUUCAAGACCAGCCUGGGAAACAAAGCAAGACUCUGUCUCUAUUUAAAAAAUUAGCAGGUGUCGUGGUACACUCCUGUAGUCCUACCUACUCGGGAGGCUAAGGCCAGCGGAUUGCUUGAGCCUAGGAGUUUGAGGCUGCAGCAAGCUAUAAUCUUGCCACCACACUCCAGCCUGUGACAGAGCAAAACCCUGUCUCUUAAAAAGAAAAAAAAAAAAAAGAGAUAACCCUGCAGGCUUUCAAAUUAUAUACACAUAUAAUGAUAAUAUACUACAUUUAUAUUAUGUAA